rnacentral:ncRNA from 1 species
AAGCGGACACAAAAAGUAUCGCUUUUUGAACGUUGGCUUUGCCAACGGCAGCGAAGCUGUGAACAAUCCUUACAAGGAUUGUGAAUAAAUUUUUAAGAG